CCCAAAAUGGAAAUUUUCAUCCCAAAAUUGAAUUUUUUCCGUAACAAGCAGCCUCAUCCCCCUAAAUCCUCAACUCCAAGCUCACCCCCUGACCCCUCCCUCCACGGCCUCCACCACCUCUCCCGCCUUCUCUCCUCCUCACCGGACCCCUUACCGAACUCCCACAUCCUCUCCUCCGCGUGCCACCUCAUCUCCUCCUCCGCCGCCACAGUCGUACACGCAGAGCGGUGGGGUUCGGCCGUUUGGGCUGUCGAAGUUGACGUCGGUGACGGGGACCACGGCGAGGUUCUUGAACCCUAAUUGGCCGACCCUGGUGGAGUUUAGAGGGUGGUGCUUCUCGAGGGAGUGUUGGAGGAUGGUGAUGGAGAUCGGGUUGUUCAAUGGCGGGGUCUUGAGGCGGGAGCAGAGGCAGAGGCGGUGGGGUUUUGUGCAGCGGUGGCAAAAUGGUCUUCUUGAGGGGGUGGUGGCCAUGGGGAUUCUAGGGUUAGGGUUAGGGUUUGGAGUUUGGAGGAGGAGGAGAUUGGUGACGUUAGAGAGGAAACGAGUCUGAAUUGGUGAGAGGCUUUUAAGGUUUGAGCCAGGGUUUAGAAACACCAUUGUCAGGUUAUGUGGACAGUGGAUCACUAAAUGUUGGUCCCAGUAGAUCAUGGAAAUCCAUGGAAAUGGAAAAAGAGUUCUCACUAGAGAAGCUGCUCGAUAUUAAUGAUUCCAUGAGCCGAUGUGCUGCAACAGCGUCUGCCACAAGUUCUAUUAAUCAAAAACUUGCAAGGCAUAGGGACAUACUUCACGAAUAUACACAGACCAUGCUUACGCUCAGAAUGAUGAGGAAGAAGGUGAAGAAGGAGGCCUGAGUAAAUGUAUAGGGAAGGAGUUGAAGAAGCUUCAGCAGUGUCAUAGCUAUUGUAAAUAAUUUAUGUAAAAAUUUGUAAACAAUUUAUGUAUCUCUCUACUAUUUUGGUGAAUGUAUUAUUUGA